AGAAGCAGGAAACUGAGAAGAUAAUGAAAAGAUAUCAUCUUGCAUCUUUCUCUUCAGAAUAGUUCUCCUUCCCUUUUCCUCUCCAUCCCCUUUCAUUAUGAAAUCUUUCAGCCGUUUCACAUCUGAUAGUUUUACCGGUUUCACUAUGAAUUCUUCCGCUCCUUCUUCUAAACACCUAUCAAUUCGAGCCAAAAUGUUUUCAGAUGACAUGAUCACUACAGGUAUCUCUCUGAAAGCUGAUGAUUCCUUGAUCUUUUUGAGCAGUUCAUAUCCUGUCAUCCCCGGCAUGGAGUAAUCCGUCAUGAUAAGAUUCACUUUCAAGUCGCUGAACCCGACAGAGUUCUUCUCUCCAUCCAAUCCAAGAAACUGCAGAGCUCUAGUCCCACUCUCAACAGCUGUAACUUUACACGAUGAGAUCCUAAGCAACCGCUCAAUAACCUUCCGGUCCACGUAGCUAUCAUCCACUGCAAGAACAUGAAGCUCCUCUGAAUCAGAAGAUGAGCCAUAAGAAACUCCAACCUCCUCCGGCAAACUCCGCCUCAAGAUCUCACCGGCGAUCUCCAUCAAAGCAGAGAAUAUAUGAAUUUCUUG
rnacentral:misc_RNA from 1 species